CCUGAGACUUCGAAGCUCCUAACCGGCAAGUGGCUAGCCCUGAGAUCUGUAAAGCUGAGAGAAGAAGCCCUGCGCAAGAUCUUUUAACUGAUCUGGUUCUCUGAUCCACUGAUGUUGAGAUUGUAAGUGUGAGAUGCGUUGAUGACCAUUGUUGAAUCGGCC